GGUAGUCAUAACACAUGCAAGUCGAACGGACCCUUCGGGGUUAGUGGCGGACGGGUGAGUAACACGUGGGAACGUGCCUUUAGGUUCGGAAUAAGCCCGGGAAACUGGGUCUAAUACCGAAUGUGCCCUUCGGGGGAAAGAUUUAUCGCCUUUAGAGCGGCCCGCGUCUGAUUAGCUAGUUGGUGAGGUAAAGGCUCACCAAGGCGACGAUCAGUAGCUGGUCUGAGAGGAUGAUCAGCCACACUGGGACUGAGACACGGCCCAGACUCCUACGGGAGGCAGCAGUGGGGAAUCUUGCGCAAUGGGCGAAAGCCUGACGCAGCCAUGCCGCGUGAAUGAUGAAGGUCUUAGGAUUGUAAAAUUCUUUCACCGGGGACGAUAAUGACGGUACCCGGAGAAGAAGCCCCGGCUAACUUCGUGCCAGCAGCCGCGGUAAUACGAAGGGGGCUAGCGUUGCUCGGAAUUACUGGGCGUAAAGGGCGCGUAGGCGGAUCGUUUAGUCAGAGGUGAAAUCCCAGGGCUCAACCCUGGAAUUGCCUUUGAUACUGGCGAUCUUGAGUGUGAGAGAGGUAUGUGGAACUCCGAGUGUAGAGGUGAAAUUCGUAGAUAUUCGGAAGAACACCAGUGGCGAAGGCGACAUACUGGCUCAUUACUGACGCUUAGGCCGAAAGCGUGGGGAGC
rnacentral:rRNA from 1 species